UUCUUUUCAUCAUUCUUUUGUUCCGCAGGUUCUUCAUGGUGGUUUGUUUAGGAUGUAAUUCAUUCUCAAGGUGUUCUUCAAGAUUCUUGUUGGAGAACAUCAAGUAUUCUUUCUCUUGCAUUUCAAAGAGCAAUUCUUCCUCCUUUAUCCUUUAAGGUGGUGUUAUAGCGUUCUUGUUAGUGGAGGAGUCACGAAGAGAAUUU
rnacentral:lncRNA from 1 species